rnacentral:rRNA from 1 species
UAAGGAAUAUUGGACAAUGGGCGAGAGCCUGAUCCAGCCAUGCCGCGUGCAGGAAGACGGCCCUAUGGGUUGUAAACUGCUUUUGAACGGGAGAAAACCUACUUACGUGUAAGUAGCUGAUAGUACCGUUAGAAUAAGCAUCGGCUAACUUCGUGCCAGCAGCCGCGGUAAGACGAAGGAUGCAAGCGUUAUCCGGAUUCAUUGGGUUUAAAGGGUGCGUAGGCGGGCUUGUAAGUCAGUGGUGAAAUCUCUCAGCUUAACUGAGAAACUGCCAUUGAUACUGCAGGCCUAGAGUACAGAUGAUGUUGGCGGAAUAUGACAUGUAGUGGUGAAAUACUUAGAUAUGUCAUAGAACACCGAUUGCGAAGGCAGCUAACAAAACUGUAACUGACGCUGAGGC